rnacentral:rRNA from 1 species
UACGUAGGUGGCGAGCGUUGUCCGGAUUUACUGGGCGUAAAGAGCGCGCAGGCGGUCGAUUUAGUCGUGUGUGAAAGCCCCCGGCUCAACUGGGGAGGGUCACGCGAUACUGAUCGACUCGAAGGCAGGAGAGGGUAGUGGAAUUCCCGGUGUAGUGGUGAAAUGCGUAGAUAUCGGGAGGAACACCAGUGGCGAAGGCGACUACCUGGCCUGUUCUUGACGCUGAGGCGCGAAAGCUAGGGGGGCAAACGGG